CACUGCACUGUGUGAUGAUGUGACGUUAGUCACGUCAUCACACAGUACUUUCAGUUUCUCCGCCCGAGCGGCUGCUCAACGGCUGCACGUGUGACCUGCCCGGCUGCCCUGGCACCUGCUGUGAUGAUUCAGAUUGCUGCCAGUGCCCACACCAGUCCUCUGUCUCCAGACACGGCUAGGAACAGGUUCGGGGGGGCCCCGGUGUGUCCACAGAAUCCACCGCCAGCCGCGGCAUGGAUAAUAGGAAAGGGGGGGGGUUGUGUCAACAGAGUCCACCACCGGCCGCGGCACUGUGCAUGUAUUGCAGGUAACACCGAAACAGCUGAGGGGUAAAGAGCCAGGAAAGACCACAUAAUCCAAAAGAAAAAGUUGCAAGGCCCUGACGAAGCACCUUUGCGCGAAACUUGUUGGCUACCUGCAUACUGUCACUUAUCCUGCUUUUGUAACUACUGUGCUCCAUAUUAAUCUUUGGAAUUGUUUUUAAUAAGCAUUAUUAAAUUGAUACAUUUUGAUAAAAUCA